rnacentral:rRNA from 1 species
GUGCCAGCAGCCGCGGUAAUACGAAGGGGGCUAGCGUUGUUCGGAAUUACUGGGCGUAAAGGGCGCGUAGGCGGCUUGGCGAGUCAGGUGUGAAAGGCCUGGGCUUAACCCGGGAAAUGCACUUGAUACUGCCGAGCUAGAGUGUGGGAGAGGAUGGCGGAAUUCCCAGUGUAGAGGUGAAAUUCGUAGAUAUUGGGAAGAACACCAGUGGCGAAGGCGGCCAUCUGGACCACAACUGACGCUUAGGCGCGAAAGCGUGGGGAGCAAACAGGAUUAGAAACCCCAGUAGUCC